GCGACCCCAGGUCAGGCGGGACUACCCGCUGAAUUUAAGCAUAUAA
rnacentral:rRNA from 1 species